rnacentral:rRNA from 1 species
GAUGAACGCUGGCGGCGUGCCUAAUACAUGCAAGUCGAGCGAACAGACGAGGAUCUUUCUCCUCUGACGUUAGCGGCGGACGGGUGAUUAACACGUGGAUAACCUACCUAUAAGACUGGGAUAACUUCGGGAAACCGGAGCUAAUACCGGAUAUUAUAUUGAACCGCAUGGUUCAAUAGUGAAAGACGGUUUUGCUGUCACUUAUAGAUGGAUCCGCGCCGCAUUAGCUAGUUGGUAAGGUAACGGCUUACCAAGGCAACGAUGCGUAGCCGACCUGAGAGGGUGGUCGGCCAACAUGGAACUGAGAAAAGGUGCCGAAUCCUACGGGGGGAAGCAGUAGGGAAUCUUCCGCAAUGGGGGAAAGCCUGACGGAGCAACGCCGCGUGAGUGAUGAAGGUCUUCGGAUCGUAAAACUCUGUUAUUAGGGAAGAACAAAUGUGUAAGUAACUAUGCACGUCUUGACGGUACCUAAUCAGAAAGCCACGGCUAACUACGUG